ensembl:lncRNA
CGCGAGUCUCUGGCGGCUCAACAGUGAUCGCGCGCGAACAGCACAGCUGUACUGAGGUAACCAGAAAACUGCGUUUUUUGCGUCGAUCUGAUCUUCAAACUCGGUUUUUAAAACGAUGGACAUGUUGGACAUGUUAUUACAACAAACAGACUGUCGACAUUCCGAGAGAGAGUGAAUAUCUUGGUUCUCAGUGAGGUUACUACCAAAUCUGUCUCUAUGAAACUGCGGCGCAAGACAGUCCUGAGAAGCAGAAGGCUUCAACAGCAAGAGCAUGUGAAGGACUCUGUGGUGCUGAGUGACACUGACUCUAGUGUGGAGGAUAUAAAAGACAAUGUGUCUGUUAUUCGUGAUAUGAAGAGGCCAGUAAGGAAGAGUAGAGCUGGUGCAUCAUGUCGAGCGAGAAAAGAAUAUGAGAGACAGCUUUCUGAUGUGGAACCACAGCAUGGAGCGGUUCAGAAGAUCUCCCUGGCUCCAGAUGCUAUCGCUGAGGACACUCUAGGGAAACUCAGGCUGAGGGCUAACACCUCUGAGACCAAGACUGAGGUUGAGUCUCGAGGAGAGCUUGAGUCUGUUUUGGAAGAAUCCAGUACCGAUCUCAUGGUGGAAUCGGGUCCCAGCUCGCCCUCUUGUCAUGUUUAUACUGUAAGAUGCAGAGAAUGCCAGAGACUUUUCGCCAAGAUGAGAAAACAGCCGACCCCAAAACAGAAAAGCAAAGAUACAAAUCCAGCAUCUUUAUCUUGUGAUGUGUGGGUUCUGCUUAAGAAGUGGCACCCUCAGAGACGCCACCAUCGGGAGAAGGGAUUAUUGUGGACAAGCCUGAGUCGGAUCAGGAAGCUGUUAGCAGGAGGCUCUGAUUCUUCAGUCAUCAACACAGCUCAAGCAAACUGCUCCAGACCUCAUGUGUUUCAGCAGAGAUUUCCCCAAGAAACAGGCAAGAAUGAGUAGGCUGUCCAUCAUGAUUUCUGUUCUUUCUGACAACAAAGCACUUGAACAUGACAAACUCGUAAUUACAACUUCAGACGUAGGAAGUUUCCGAUAACACGUGAAGGCAGCUGUGAGACAUUUUUUACAGGAUUCUUUGAUGAAUAGAAUUUUCAAAAGAAAAGCAUUUAGAAUCGUUUGAAAUAGAAAUUCUAAAU